AUGACACACCUGCCCGAGAAGGGCUGUGGGGUUGGGACACUCACCCCGGGAACUGUUUCUUCCCUCCUGCCUCCCCGAGCAAACCGGACACUCGCGGAGCUGCGGAGAGGCCACGUCCUGCUGCCCCCCGCCCCCCGGGCUCCCUCACGACCUGGGGCCUUGAGCACCUGCCACACCGACGGCCGGCCAUGCGCUGAUCACGCCAGGCUUGGGGGCCCCCGCCCCCCCACCAGCUCCCGCUCCUCCUCUGGGUUUCAGCUGAAACACCACCUGGAGACAGAAGCUUUCCAGGACCCGGAGACGCCCCAGCUGGGGUGGGGCCGCGCUGGGCCGACCGGUGGGCAGAGCUUCCGGAACAGAGAGGGAGGGCAGCACCUGGCCACGCACAGGCAGACGGGGUUGCCUUCCCGCGACUUGAUAACCUCGUUGAAAGAACCUGUCAUUGAUCCAACGGUUGACCCCAAGUUACAAUUUCUGAGGAUAUGGUUGUUGGUCAAGGCAAAGGAAGAACAGGAGGGGAGGAGGCUGCUACAGAGCAUCCCACUUCCAAGAGCCUCAGAAGUCCUGAAAAGCCCCACCGCGGCUCACGGAUGAGCCAGAAAGGUCCUUGGACUCGCCCAAGCUCCCGUGGUGAGGACCCGAGACCCCAGACUCCCGUGAGAACACCUGUCUUCCAGGAAGGUACAGGAAUUACAAAUGCCGGAGGCAAACUUCCUGGGAACCCAACCAGAGCCCCGCAUUUCAGCAAAAGUCAUCACGUAUGAAGCGGUGCCAACAUGCGGAGCCUCAAAACCCAUUUUAAUAAAAGCAGAAGAAAUAGAAGACCCAGACCCCGCUCAACCAGCCCGCUGACGGGACCUCAGGAUAAACGCUCUCAAAUAAGGAGGGAUGAGAUACUCUGGUUUCAUCACCUGGGUAUCGGCAGUCAGCUCUAACACAAUCUGGGUGCUCUGUGGCCACGUUUCUUUUCCUUCCCUCCUCUCGGCCUGUCUCUUCCUACUUACAGGACCCAUGAGCCACUUGUUCUAUACCCAAGGGACUUUGGGAACAGGUAGGUGAGGAAGGCCAAGGACGUAAGGUAGGC
rnacentral:lncRNA from 1 species